AGAGUGUUACGAUGAUGGAAGUUUACUUCCAAGUCUAGCUCGAAACUUCCCCUGAUUGUUUUCAGGGGAGG
rnacentral:ncRNA from 1 species